CAAAUUAUAGCUUUAUUAGUUUAGCAUAUUAUUUACACUAAUAUUUUAAUUGUGCAAUUCAGUUUAAUUUGA
rnacentral:tRNA from 1 species